AUUGAACGCUGGCGGCAGGCCUAACACAUGCAAGUCGAGCGGAUGAAGGGAACUAGCUUCUGGAUUCGGCGGCGGACGGGUGAGUAAUGCCUGGGAAUCUGCCUAUUAGCGGGUGAUAACGUGCGGAAACGGGCGCUAAUACGGCAAAAGUCCUGACGAAGUAAGGGGGGGAGCUUCGGACCUCACGCUAUCGGAUGAGCCUAGGUCGGAUUAGCUAGUUGGCGGGGUAAAGGCCUACCAAGGCGACGAUCCGUAACUGGUCUGAGAGGAUGAUCAGUCACACUGGAACUGAGACACGGUCCAGACUCCUACGGGAGGCAGCAGUGGGGAAUAUUGGACAAUGGGCGCAAGCCUGAUCCAGCCAUGCCGCGUGUGUGAAGAAGGUCUUCGGAUUGUAAAGCACUUUUGGUUGGGAAGAAGAGCAGUAAGUUAAUACCUUGCUGUUCUGACGUCACCAACAGAAUAAGCACCGGCUAACUUCGUG
rnacentral:rRNA from 1 species